rnacentral:rRNA from 1 species
CAGGAAGAAUGCCCUAUGGGUAGUAAACUGCUUUUAUACGGGAAGAAAAAGAGCUACGUGUAGCUUACUGACGGUACCGUAAGAAUAAGGACCGGCUAACUCCGUGCCAGCAGCCGCGGUAAUACGGAGGGUCCGAGCGUUAUCCGGAAUUAUUGGGUUUAAAGGGUCCGUAGGCGGGCCGAUAAGUCAGGGGUGAAAGUCUGCCGCUCAACGGUAGAACUGCCUUUGAUACUGUCGGUCUUGAGUUAUAGUGAAGUUGCCGGAAUAUGUAGUGUAGCGGUGAAAUGCAUAGAUAUUACAUAGAACACCGAUUGCGAAGGCAGGUGACUAACUAUAUACUGACGCUGAUGGACGAAAGCGUGGGGAGCGAACAGGAUUAGAUACCCUGGUAGUCCACGCCGUAAACGAUGGAUACUAGCUGUCCGGGGCCUUGAGUUCUGGGCGGCCAAGCGAAAGUGAUAAGUAUCCCACCUGGGGAGUACGUUCGCAAGAAUGAAACUCAAAGGAAUUGACGGGGGCCCGCACAAGCGGUGGAGCAUGUGGUUUAAUUCGAUGAUACGCGAGGAACCUUACCAGGGCUUAAAUGCAUAUUGACAGGGUCAGAGAUGACUUUUCCUUCGGGCAAUUUGCAAGGUGCUGCAUGGUUGUCGUCAGCUCGUGCCGUGAGGUGUCAGGUUAAGUCCUAUAACGAGCGCAACCCCUACCGUUAGUUGCCAGCAUGUCAUGAUGGGGACUCUAACGGGACUGCCGGUGCAAACCGUGAGGAAGGUGGGG